rnacentral:rRNA from 1 species
UACGGGGGGAGCAAGCGUUGUUCGGAUUUACUGGGCGUAAAGGGCGCGUAGGCGGCGCAACAAGUCACUUGUGAAAUCUCCGGGCUUAACCCGGAGCGGUCAAGUGAUACUGUCGUGCUAGAGUGCGGAAGGGGCUACUGGAAUUCUUGGUGUAGCGGUGAAAUGCGUAGAUAUCGAGAGGAACACCUGCGGCGAAGGCGGGUAGCUGGGCCGACACUGACGCUGAUGCGCGAAAGCCAGGGGAGCGAACGGG